ACACCUCAACUCUCAUGGUUUUCUGUGAUGAGCUUGGACCGUGGGGGUUUGUUGGCCUUUGGUCAACUCCUCUCAAAUGAAUCAGCUUGCCAGAGUUUGGUGGCAUCACAGGUGUGAUAACUAUCUACGCUUGUCGUUGUUGACCAGGUACCCUCCGGUUUCGGGGGUCCUCUGGAGCUUAUAAAUGUCUCUCCUCAGUGAAGACAACCAUUUAAA
rnacentral:misc_RNA from 1 species